ACAAAGAAGAGUUUGAUCCUUGCUAAGGAUGAACGCAAGCGGCAGGCUUAACACAUGCAAGUCGAGGGGCAGCGCGAGGGUAGCAAUACACUUGGCGGCGACCGGCGGAAGGGUGCGUAACGCGUGAGCAACAUGCCCGUCACAGGGGGAUAACAGAUGGAAACGUCUCCUAAUACCCCGUAACAUCAGAGUAGGCAUCUACUUUGGUUGAAAGUUUCGGCGGUGACGGAUUGGCUCGCGUGACAUUAGCUAGUUGGAGUGGUAACGGCACACCAAGGCGACGAUGUCUAGGGGUUCUGAGAGGAAGGUCCCCCACACUGGAACUGAGACACGGUCCA
rnacentral:rRNA from 1 species